rnacentral:rRNA from 1 species
AAUGAUUAUAUUAAAUUGCUGUGGUAUUAUGACUAUACGAAGGUAUUGAAAUAAGACUUUAAUUGAGUGCUAAGAGAAUGGUUUAACAAAAAUAGGCUUUUUUUUUAUUUAAAAUUGAAGUUAAUUUAAAAACGAAAAAGUUUUUAUGAAAUUUUAGGACAAGAAGACCCUAUGAAUUUUUUUAAAAAGCUUUUUUUUAGGCUUUUUUAAAAAAAUUUUAGAUAAGUUUUUAAUUAAUUGGGGCGAUUUUUAAAUUUUUAGAAACUUUAAAGAUAUGAUAUUGGAUCCAAUAUUAUUGAUAUAUUAAAUAAAAUACUCUAGGGAUAACAGCGUUAUUACUUUGGAUAGUUCAUAUAGAUAAAGUAGAUUGCGACCUCGAUGUUGGAUUAGGAUACCUUUAUUAGUGAAGAAGUUAUAAAAGGAGGUUUGCUCAACCUUUAAAUUCCUACA